GCCCUGGCUCAGUUGAUAGAGCAUGGGACUCUUAAUCUGAGGGUUGUGGGUUCAAGCCUCAUUUUGGGCA